rnacentral:tRNA from 1 species
GCUUAAUUAGUAUAAAGAGUAUUAUAGACUUCCAAUUUAUAGGUCCCAAAAUUUAGGAUUAAGCA